AUUGAACGCUGGCGGCAUGCCUUACACAUGCAAGUCGAACGGUAACGCGGGGCAACCUGGCGACGAGUGGCGAACGGGUGAGUAAUAUAUCGGAACGUGCCCAGUAGUGGGGGAUAGCCCGGCGAAAGCCGGAUUAAUACCGCAUGAGACCUGAGGGUGAAAGCGGGGGAUCGCAAGACCUCGCGCUAUUGGAGCGGCCGAUAUCAGAUUAGGUAGUUGGUGGGGUAAAGGCCUACCAAGCCGACGAUCUGUAGCUGGUCUGAGAGGACGACCAGCCACACUGGGACUGAGACACGGCCCAGACUCCUACGGGAGGCAGCAGUGGGGAAUUUUGGACAAUGGGCGCAAGCCUGAUCCAGCCAUGCCGCGUGCGGGAAGAAGGCCU
rnacentral:rRNA from 1 species